AUUGAACGCUGGCGGCAGGCUUAACACAUGCAAGUCGAGCGGGGUGAUGGUGCUUGCACUAUCACUUAGCGGCGGACGGGUGAGUAAUGCUUCGGAAUCUGCCUAUUAGUGGGGGACAACAUCUCGCAAGGGAUGCUAAUACCGCAUACGUCCUACGAGAGAAAGCAGGGGAUCACUUGUGACCUUGCGCUAAUAGAUGAGCCUAAGUCGGAUUAGCUAGUUGGUGGGGUAAAGGCCUACCAAGGCGACGAGCUGUAGCGGGUCGGAGAGGAUGAUCCGCCACACUGGGACUGAGGCACGGCCCAGACUCCUACGGGAGGCAGCAGUGGGGAAGAUUGGACAAUGGGGGGAACCCUGAUCCAGCCAUGCCGCGUGUGUGAAGAAGGCCUUAUGGUUGUAAAGCACUUUAAGCGAGGAGGAGGCUCUUUUGGUUAAUACCCAAGAUGAGUGGACGUUACUCGCAGAAUAAGCACCGGCUAACUCUGUGCCAGCCGCCGCCGUAA
rnacentral:rRNA from 1 species